CUGACCCGGGCCGUGGGUUCGCUCUGAUUGCAGCGGUUUCCCGCCAGCUCCUUGCAGAGCUGGCAGAUGGCCCAGCCCCACAGCAGGAGCUGUGAAUGGCAGAACGAGAUACAACAAUUUGAUAUCCACUUGCCAGACGAGCCGGGUGUCGUCAGUCGCCUGGCUCUGUGCCCAACCUCUUUUUGCAUAAACACUUAUGAAUUCAGCCAAGAGGAAAAGCACUCUGAUUAUGAAUUGAGCAGAAGGAAACAAAAUUCUGCAGAUAAACACCAAUGAGACAAAAAAACACGAACAAGAAAAAUGACAGAAAAGGAGAACCUUCCCAGAAGCCUCCUGCCAGUGAACGGCCACCACAGCAAGAGCAUGGAGAGGCCCUGGGUUUUGAACUGUGAGAUAAGGAAGAUGAUGAAAACCUCCCUAGCAGCCAGGCAAGCACAAGAUUCCUGUGAAAUCCAGGUCUAAGUGUUUUGACCACCGAAGUAAUAUUAUGUCAUAGGUGAGAGCUGUGAGUUGCUGAACCCAAAGUGAGUUCAAAUCCGAGUUCUGCCUCCUGCAACCUGUGUGACUUUGAGAAGUUCCAGCACCACUUUGUGCCUCAGUUUUGUCAUCUGUUAAACGGGCAUAAUCACAGCUCCUGCCUCAGAGUUGUUGUAAAUUAAUACAUGUAAAGCACUGAAAUCAGCCUGGUAUACAGUGCAGGAAUGGGAGGCAGCAGCUGGGGAAGCCAGGGUCUCUGGCAGUCCUUGUCUCUGGGCGGUGAUCCAGAGAGAGAGAGAACACGAUUGUCUCAGCACUGGGUCUUCUUCUGAGUCGUCUUGAAGGAGCAAUUCCAGAGCAUCUCGGUGUUAAACAUCAUGUUGUGAAUGACUCAGUGAUCUCUGACCCAGAGAACUUGGGGAUAAAGGAGGGGAGGUAUGGAGAAGCUCUUCGAAUGGAUGUUACCGGGGUGUCAGUGUUCCUUGAGGCCACAGGCUAUUUGUCACCAAAUUGAAGGGGUGGCCUGCCCCUCCACACCUGUGGGUAUUUCUAGUCGGGUGGGAUGAGAGAUGGAGAAAAGAAAUAAGACACAGAGACAAAGUACAGGGAAACAACAGUGGGUCCAGGGGACCGGCACUCAGCAGACCAGGACUUGCACGGGCACUGGCCUCUGAGUUCCCUCAGUUUUUAUUGAUUAUGAUUUUCAUUAUUUCAGCAAAAAGGAAUGUAAUAGGAGAGCAGGGUGAUAAUAAGGAGAAGGUCAAUAAAAAACAUGUGAGCAAAAGAAUCUGUAUCAUACUUAAGUUCAAGGGAAGGUACUAUGACUGGACUUGCACGUAGGCCAGAUUUAUG
rnacentral:lncRNA from 10 species